UUUUCUUUUGGCUGUGCACCCUCCCCACCCCUCGUUGCCCUUAUUUCCUGCAAUUUCAAAUCAGUUAAUUACGCGGUAAUUGAAAAUUGUCGAACAAUAACAGACCUAAACCAUUGCCUAAGAUAUAACUACCUCGUCCGCCCCCGGGUUUUCAGAGUUGAUCUCCUUCACAAGUGCCUCAACAAACCCCAUAGGAGCAGAGACUUGUUCAAGCCCCUCUCCAUCAUUCUGAUUUGAUGUUUGACCGGACUCAUAGCCAACCGGUGG
rnacentral:lncRNA from 1 species